rnacentral:ribozyme from 1 species
ACCAAGGAUGCUAUCGACGAGCUGACCCGGAACCACUAGGAGGCUACUAAUGGCUCUCCUUCUCAACUCCUACUCAAUACGUCUACGACGUGCAGAACGGUAACUUAUCGCCUAUAUAUCCUAGCUUGGGUACACGGGGAAACCCACCCCCUGGGGCGAAUGGGCUGAAUUGAGAGAGGAAAUGGA